rnacentral:rRNA from 1 species
UACGGAGGGUGCGAGCGUUGUCCGGAAUCACUGGGCGUAAAGGGCGCGUAGGCGGCCUGCCAAGCGUGUGGUGAAAGCCCGGGGCUCAACCCCGGGUCGGCCGUGCGGACUGGCGUGCUCGAGCACUGUAGGGGCGGGUGGAAUUCCGGGUGUAGCGGUGGAAUGCGUAGAGAUCCGGAAGAACACCGGAGGCGAAGGCGGCUUGCUGGGCUUUGUCUGACGCUGAGGCGCGAAAGCGUGGGGAGCGAACAGG